rnacentral:sRNA from 1 species
CAGCAGUGGAGCCUGGUCAUGGAAAGCGUGGUGCCCUCAGACCGCGGCAACUACACCUGCGUAGUGGAGAACAAGUUUGGCAGCAUCCGGCAGACAUACACGCUGGAUGUGCUGGAGCGCUCCCCGCACCGGCCCAUCCUGCAGGCGGGGCUGCCGGCCAACCAGACGGCGGUGCUGGGCAGCGAUGUGGAGUUCCACUGCAAGGUGUACAGUGACGCACAGCCCCACAUCCAGUGGCUCAAGCACGUGGAGGUGAACGGCAGCAAGGUGGGCCCGGACGGCACACCCUACGUUACCGUGCUCAAGUCCUGGAUCAGUGAGAGUGUGGAGGCCGACGUGCGCCUCCGCCUGGCCAAUGUGUCGGAGCGGGACGGGGGCGAGUACCUCUGUCGAGCCACCAAUUUCAUAGGCGUGGCCGAGAAGGCCUUUUGGCUGAGCGUUCACGGGCCCCGAGCAGGUAACGACUCUGUCCCAUGCCGGCCGGCACAAGAGCUCCAGCUCCAAGGCCCUGGCCGCGCGCCCUGCACGCCCCGCACGCCCAGCCC